rnacentral:lncRNA from 1 species
CAACCUUUUCGUAAAGGUAUAUUACUAUUGGUGAUAUUCAAAUCGAAAUCGAUGUUUAAUACAAGUUGGAUUGUGCAUAGGUAUAGCAAAGGAAUAUAAUUAUCGGUCGAUUGUGAAGGAAGUUCUACAGCUUCUAUUUAUCAGACACCUCAAUCUUGAUGGAAUCCAUCGCCACGAGGGUAUGAGAGCGGAGGCCAGUUUUCUUUUUUUAAAUCGGAGCGCCCAGCAAGGCAGCUACCGGUACCAUUUUUUACGUCUUUGGUAUGACGCGGCCAGGAAUUCCCGCACUCGAAGUAGACGCUCUACCACUAGGUUAUCGGGGCUGUUUUAAAUUGAUUAAUAACACGAAUUACAAACAGAAAAGAAAAAAAGAAAUAAGACCGAGAAUAUACCGAGAAUAAUACUACUGACAAUUUGUUAAACGACCAAAUCAUCUGCCAAAAUUCUAAGGCCUUUUGUUUUUAAGUAUAAAAUAGUCACUUUUAUCCACUUUUAUAUGUAUGUUUAGAUGGAACAGUCCUGCAUUUCUAAUAAAAAUCCAUAACCAGAAA